GACGAACGCUGGCGGUGUGCUUAACACAUGCAAGUCGAACGGAAAGGCCCUGCUUUUGUGGGGUGCUCGAGUGGCGAACGGGUGAGUAACACGUGAGUAACCUGCCCUUGACUUUGGGAUAACUUCAGGAAACUGGGGCUAAUACCGGAUAGGAGCACCUGCUGCAUGGUGGGGGUUGGAAAGUUUCGGCGGUUGGGGAUGGACUCGCGGCUUAUCAGCUUGUUGGUGGGGUAGUGGCUUACCAAGGCUUUGACGGGUAGCCGGCCUGAGAGGGUGACCGGCCACAUUGGGACUGAGAUACGGCCCAGACUCCUACGGGAGGCAGCAGUGGGGAAUAUUGCACAAUGGGCGGAAGCCUGAUGCAGCAACGCCGCGUGCGGGAUGACGGCCUUCGGGUUGUAAACCGCUUUCGCCUGUGACGAAGCGUGAGUGACGGUAAUGGGUAAAGAAGCACCGGCUAACUACGUG
rnacentral:rRNA from 1 species